rnacentral:rRNA from 1 species
GACGAACGCUGGCGGCGUGCCUAAUACAUGCAAGUCGAGCGCUGACGGAUGGUGCUUGUGCUCACAGGAUGAGCAGCGGACGGGUGAGUAACGCGUGGGGAAUCUGCCUUUGAGCGGGGGACAACAUCUGGAAACGACUGAUAAUACCGCAUAAUAACUUUAAACACAAGAAUUAAGUUUGAAAGAUGCCAUUGCCUCAUUAAAAGAUCAACCCGCGAUGUGUUAGCUAGGUGGGGAGGUAAAGGCCCACCAAGGCGAAGAUACAUAGCCGAACUGGAAGGGUUGUCGGCCACAAUUGGACUGGGAACCGGGCCCAACCCCUUACGGAAGGAGCCGUAGGGAAACUUCGGCCAUGGGCGGAAGUCUUACCGAACAACGCCGCGGGAGGGGAGGAAGGUUUCGGAUCGUAAAACUCUGUUUGUAGAGAAGAACGUUGGUGAGAGUGAAAAGCUCAUCAAGUGACGGUAACUACCCAGAAAGCGACGGCUAACUACGUG